GAUGGAGCACGCCGCGUGAGUGAAGAAGGGUUUCGGCUCGUAAAACUCUGUUGUUAAAGAAGAACAUAUCUGAGAGUAACUGUUCAGGUAUUGACGGUAUUUAACCAGAAAGCCACGGCUAACUACGUGCCAGCAGCCGCGGUAAUACGUAGGUGGCAAGCGUUGUCCGGAUUUAUUGGGCGUAAAGCGAGCGCAGGCGGUUUUUUAAGUCUGAUGUGAAAGCCUUCGGCUCAACCGAAGAAGUGCAUCGGAAACUGGGAAACUUGAGUGCAGAAGAGGACAGUGGAACUCCAUGUGUAGCGGUGAAAUGCGUAGAUAUAUGGAAGAACACCAGUGGCGAAGGCGGCUGUCUGGUCUGUAACUGACGCUGAGGCUCGAAAGUAUGGGUAGCAAACAGGAUUAGAUACCCUGGUAGUCCAUACCGUAAACGAUGAAUGCUAAGUGUUGGAGGGUUUCCGCCCUUCAGUGCUGCAGCUAACGCAUUAAGCAUUCCGCCUGGGGAGUACGGCCGCAAGGCUGAAACUCAAAGGAAUUGACGGGGGCCCGCACAAGCGGUGGAGCAUGUGGUUUAAUUCGAAGCUACGCGAAGAACCUUACCAGGUCUUGACAUACUAUGCAAAUCUAAGAGAUUAGACGUUCCCUUCGGGGACAUGGAUACAGGUGGUGCAUGGUUGUCGUCAGCUCGUGUCGUGAGAUGUUGGGUUAAGUCCCGCAACGAGCGCAACCCUUAUUAUCAGUUGCCAGCAUUAAGUUGGGCACUCUGGUGAGACUGCCGGUGACAAACCGGAGGAAGGUGGGGAUGACGUCAAAUCAUCAUGCCCCUUAUGACCUGGGCUACACACGUGCUACAAUGGAUGGUACAACGAGUUGCGAACUCGCGAGAGUAAGCUAAUCUCUUAAAGCCAUUCUCAGUUCGGAUUGUAGGCUGCAACUCGCCUACAUG
rnacentral:rRNA from 1 species